ACGCUGGCGGCGUGCCUAAUACAUGCAAGUAGAACGCUGAAGAGAGGAGCUUGCUCUUCUUGGAUGAGUUGCGAACGGGUGAGUAACGCGUAGGUAACCUGCCUUGUAGCGGGGGAUAACUAUUGGAAACGAUAGCUAAUACCGCAUAACAAUGGAUGACUCAUGUCAUUUAUUUGAAAGGGGCAAAUGCUCCACUACAAGAUGGACCUGCGUUGUAUUAGCUAGUAGGUGAGGUAACGGCUCACCUAGGCGACGAUACAUAGCCGACCUGAGAGGGUGAUCGGCCACACUGGGACUGAGACACGGCCCAGACUCCUACGGGAGGCAGCAGUAGGGAAUCUUCGGCAAUGGGGGCAACCCUGACCGAGCAACGCCGCGUGAGUGAAGAAGGUUUUCGGAUCGUAAAGCUCUGUUGUAAGUCAAGAACGAGUGUGAGAGUGGAAAGUUCACACUGUGACGGUAGCUUACCAGAAAGGGACAGCUAACUACGUGCCAGCAGCCGCGGUAAUACGUAGGUCCCGAGCGUUGUCCGGAUUUAUUGGGCGUAAAGCGAGCGCAGGCGGUUUGAUAAGUCUGAAGUUAAAGGCUGUGGCUCAACCAUAGUUCGCUUUGGAAACUGUCAAACUUGAGUGCAGAAGGGGAGAGUGGAAUUCCAUGUGUAGCGGUGAAAUGCGUAGAUAUAUGGAGGAACACCGGUGGCGAAAGCGGCUCUCUGGUCUGUAACUGACGCUGAGGCUCGAAAGCGUGGGGAGCGAACAGGAUUAGAUACCCUGGUAGUCCACCCCGUAAACGAUGAGUGCUAGGUGUUGGAUCCUUUCCGGGAUUCAGUGCCGCAGCUACGCAUUAAGCACCUCCGCCUGGGGAGAACGACCGCAAGGUUGAAACUCAAAGGAAUUGACGGGGGCCCGCA
rnacentral:rRNA from 1 species